GAUGAACGCUGGCGGCGUGCCUAAUACAUGCAAGUCGAGCGAACGGACGAGAAGCUUGCUUCUCUGAUGUUAGCGGCGGACGGGUGAGUAACACGUGGAUAACCUACCUAUAAGACUGGGAUAACUUCGGGAAACCGUAGCUAAUACCGGAUAAUAUUUUGAACCGCAUGGUUCAAAAGUGAAAGACGGUCUUGCUGUCACUUAUAGAUGGAUCCGCGCUGCAUUAGCUAGUUGGUAAGGUAACGGCUUACCAAGGCAACGAUGCAUAGCCGACCUGAGAGGGUGAUCGGCCACACUGGAACUGAGACACGGUCCAGACUCCUACGGGAGGCAGCAGGAGGGAAUCUUCCGCAAUGGGCGAAAGCCUGACGGAGCAACGCCGCGUGAGUGAUGAAGGUCUUCGGAUCGUAAAACUCUGUUAUUAGGGAAGAACAUAUGUGUAAGUAACUGUGCACAUCUUGACGGUACCUAAUCAGAAAGCCACGGCUAACUACGU
rnacentral:rRNA from 1 species